AUUGAACGCUGGCGGCAUGCCUUACACAUGCAAGUCGAACGGCAGCAUGAUCUAGCUUGCUAGAUUGAUGGCGAGUGGCGAACGGGUGAGUAAUACAUCGGAACGUGCCCUGUAGUGGGGGAUAACUAGUCGAAAGAUUAGCUAAUACCGCAUACGACCUGAGGGUGAAAGUGGGGGACCGCAAGGCCUCAUGCUAUAGGAGCGGCCGAUGUCUGAUUAGCUAGUUGGUGUGGUUAAGGCUCACCAAGGCGACGAUCAGUAGCUGGUCUGAGAGGACGAUCAGCCACACUGGGACUGAGACACGGCCCAGACUCCUACGGGAGGCAGCAGUGGGUAAUUUUGGACAAUGGGGGCAACCCUGAUCCAGCAAUGCCGCGUGUGUGAAGAAGGCCUUCGGGUUGUAAAGCACUUUUGUCCGGAAAGAAAUCGCACUUACUAAUAUUAGGUGUGGAUGACGGUACCGGAAGAAUAAGGACCGGCUAACUACGUGCCAGCCGCCGCAGUAACAC
rnacentral:rRNA from 1 species